rnacentral:rRNA from 1 species
GCCGCCGCGGUAAUACGUAGGGGGCAAGCGUUAUCCGGAUUUACUGGGUGUAAAGGGAGCGUAGACGGUGAAGCAAGUCUGAAGUGAAAUACCCGGGCUCAACCUGGGAACUGCUUUGGAAACUGUUUUACUAGAGUGCUGGAGAGGCAAGCGGAAUUCCUAGUGUAGCGGUGAAAUGCGUAGAUAUUAGGAGGAACACCAGUGGCGAAGGCGGCUUGCUGGACAGUAACUGACGUUGAGGCUCGAAAGCGUGGGGAGCAAACAGGAUUAGAUACCCC